GCAGUCGAGCGGACCGAAGGGAGCUUGCUCCUUUAGGUUAGCGGCGGACGGGUGAGUAACACGUGGGCAACCUGCCCUGCAGACUGGGAUAACUUCGGGAAACCGGGGCUAAUACCGGAUAACACCGAAAACCGCAUGGUUUUCGGUUGAAAGGCGACUUUUAGCUGUCACUGCAGGAUGGGCCCGCGGCGCAUUAGCUAGUUGGUGAGGUAACGGCUCACCAAGGCGACGAUGCGUAGCCGACCUGAGAGGGUGACCGGCCACACUGGGACUGAGACACGGCCCAGACUCCUACGGGAGGCAGCAGUAGGGAAUCUUCCGCAAUGGACGAAAGUCUGACGGAGCAACGCCGCGUGAGCGAAGAAGGUCUUCGGAUCGUAAAGCACUUUCGCCAGGGAUGAUAAUGACAGUACCUGGUAAAGAAACCCCGGCUAACUCCGUGCCAGCAGCCGCGGUAAU
rnacentral:rRNA from 1 species